rnacentral:rRNA from 1 species
AUUGAACGCUGGCGGCAGGCCUAACACAUGCAAGUCGAACGAGUGGCGGACGGGUGAGUAAUGUCUGGGAAAAUGCCCGAUGGAGGGGGAUAACUACUGGAAACGGUAGCUAAUACCGCAUACCAUCGGAUGUGCCCAGCUGGGAUUAGCUAGUCGGUGGGGUAAAGGUUCACCUAGGCGACGAUCCCUAGAUGGUCUGAGAGGAUUACCAGCCACACUGGAACUGAGACACGGUCCAGACUCCUACGGUAGGCAGCAGUGGGGAAUAUUGCACAAUGGGCGCAAGCCUGAUGCAGCCAUGCCGCGUGUAUGAAGAAGGUCUUCGGGUUGUAAAGUACUUUCAGCGAGGAGGCGUUACUCGCAGAAGAAGCACCGGCUAACGCCGUGCCAGCAGCCGCGGUAAUUC